UAACGGCCGCGUUAGCGUGAGCGUGCUAAGGUAGCGUAAUAAAUAGCCUUUUAAUUGGAGGCCAGUGAAUGGCAAGACUAGGGAUAUCUGUACCCUGUAUAGAAAAACAACUUUUCAUUCGGGUGAAAAGACCCGUAUAAUAAAGGAAGACGAAAAGACCCCGCGGAACUUUACCUUUUCCAGUAUCCAUAUGCUCAGAAAAACAUAAAGGUUUGAUUGGGGCAAUCUCGGAACCACCCAAACUUCCGACUUACAAUAUAAAAAUAUAUAGAAUUCAAUAAGGACCAAAAAGAAGUUACCCCGGGGAUAACAGCGUAAUCCAACUUGAGAGUACAUAUCGAAAGCUGGGUUUGCGACCUCGAUGUUGGCUUAAG
rnacentral:rRNA from 1 species